CCCCCUCUCCCUUUGUGCCUUCGUUUCAUUUUUCUUGAUUUAUAGAGAGAGAGAGAGAGAGAGAGAGAGAGUGCUUUAGGGUAGAAAGAGGAAGAGAAGGGUCUGUCUUGCAGGUCAACCAUUACCGUCUUCUGGGUUUUUGCUUCUGAGCUGCAUUCACUACUGCUUAAGCCUGUUUGGAGAUCAAAACCUUUAGGCACGAGAAGCCUUUGAGAGCAGAGAAGCUAUAGAGUUGGAAGUCGCUGAUCUUGCUAAAAUUCAACCUGAGCAAUGGAGGUAUAUGGCAAAUCCAUGGUAUCAGGUCCUGCCAACGUUAUUUAUCUGUCCACUAUUCUGGGCCGGGAUGGGCCAAUUCCUGUCCACAAAUGCGAUUGGAAAUGUGAAAAUGAACACGUGUGUGGAAACAUGUACCUCUGCAAACUAACUGGUCUCACUCACAUCUGUGACAAGAACUGUAACCAGAGAAUUUUGUAUGAUAACCAUAGUUCCCUUUGCCGAGCAAGCGGUCAAAUUUCCCCCCUUUCGCCAGCUGAGGAGCAGGCAGUAAGAGGGGUUCGCAGGAAGAUUGAUGCUGACGGUUCCCCCACUGAUAGCUGUGCUUUUAAGCGCAGACGGGAUGCACAGCUUCAUCCUUCUCCUUUUGAGAGAUCUUUCUCAGCUGCCAGUCCAAUCUGCAGCCAAGUUGGGGAUGGCAUGGAUAUGAACUAGAUAUAUCUUUCAUAUAACUGAAAUGACUCAUCCUCGUUUUUUUUGGGGAUGUUCCUUUGGAAUAUCCCCCCUUUUUUUGUUUUCUUUUUCAGGGAAAAACUAUGGUUAAAAACUCUAUGUGGGCACACUAAUGGAGGACCUGAUGUGCCCUCUUGUCUGUAGGAACUUAAUAUUUCCGUUCAUGUUUAAUGCUAUGUAGCUCUUACCUUAGCAUAGUUUGGCUUUCGGUAGGGAUAUCAAACAGGGUCCAUUUGCUUAUGAAACUUGAAUUCAAUUUAGUUUAAUAUAGUCUUACUGUUGUUCAUUUUUGAACUUUAACGGCAACAGGGUGCAUUCAGGUCUUUUUGUAAGACUUGAACAUGGUGCAGUGUGGUAAUAAUUUUUGGUGAUGUACUUAUUUCAUUAACGGACUUUUUUACUCCUGCAUUGUUGUUUUCUUUUGCGGACAUACUUCUUCAAGAAUAUUUAUUUGUAGAAACAGGAUCCUGUGGUGAUUUGUCUGUUCUUGCUGUUUUAUCAUUCUGCUUUCAUGUAUUUGUCUUUAUGCAUUAGUUCUCUAUGCAAUUUCUGGAGCCCUUGAUUAUUGAUGGCUGUUGUUUUUGGCAAAUUGUUGACUAUGUGGCACAGGUUUACUUGAAGUUCUUCAAACUGGGGGCCUUUUUGUUUUGUUAUCUCUUAUUUGAUCGAAAUUUAACAUUGUUCUUUGCUUUGUUUUGUUCAGUUUAUUGCAGGUUGAAGAGGAAUUUUGGCCAUCCAUGACCUUUUUUUCUUUUUGUGUUGUUGUUUGCUUUGUUUUGUUUUUUCCAAGUUUAUUUUCCUAGAAAGUGUUAUUUUUGCAGGGAUUGAAGUGUGCAAUUCAAGAGGAUUUUAAUAUGCUUUAUGCAAUGAUGAAUAGAUAAUUAUGUCUUAUAAUGUUUCUGAAAAUGAAGAGACUUUUAUCUGUUCUUCUCUAAUAUUGGUGUUUCUCUUCUUUCUUGCAGUGGAUAAAUGAUGAUGCAUAGAAUGAUGAGGUAUUCUAUUUUGUUGAUAAAUUGAGGAAAUGGAGUAUUUCAUGGUGUUUCAUCUUUCUUCUGUUGAGGAAUUGCCUGGCAAUGCUCAUGUUAGAGGUGUUUCAAGGUCUAAAUUCCUGAUUUUCCCAUUGAUGUUGCCCAGGGUGUAAUAAUGGUCCUAAGAGAAAACAGCCCUUGGUACCUGUUUUAUUGGAUUAUAUGUAAAGCAAAGAUACUCUUUUGUAAUGUAUUUUGACUAGGUGAAGUUUCUCUUUGGCUAUGAGGUGAAUGGGGAAGCAAUUUCAAGUAGCUUAUUUUUUGUGAGUUGUACUUUAAUUGAUGAGAUCACUGAAAGCGUUGACUGUAACUGCAGGAAUCCAUUCAAUGAUGAUCUGCAAGUUCAGAUGGUGAUCCCCCUAUAAGAAUCUUGAAUAAUGGUGUUCAUUAAAACUUGCUGCAGGCUAAGUUUGUAAGCUGCUGAAUUCUGCAUGCUUAAAUUAUAUUUUUGGGCUGUAAUUUUCCGUGCUGGUCUGAAAUUUAUUUUUGAUUAGUAAGGGCUGCUGUCUGCACUUCGAGCCUGUACUGAUGUUAUAUUGUUGUUAGCUUUUCUUCUGGCUCUCUAUCAUUCUGUUUAUGCUUCAGAUAUGCAGUGAUGUAGGUACUGUAUUAUUUAAUGGAAGCAGCCAUUAUUUUGAUACCAGUCAAUUUGUAAAGAACAUGGUUUGUUAUGCAAUAACACUUCUUUCAACUGUAUGCCCAUGUUGCAUUACUGUUCUUGCAAUGGAAGGUGGAUGUCCCAUUUUGUGUACCCUACUUGCAUGUAUCUUGUCUUCUGAAUUUAAUAUAAAGUUGCUUUAUAUUUGGUAAUGAUUAGCAACACUAGUGUAAUAAUUUUCUUUAUUCAGUCUGAUCCAAAUUCAUAUAGGCAGAGUUAAACAGAAAGAUGCAGUGAAUUAGACAAAGAGCCAUGUUAUACUCUUAUCAUUUUAUUCUCCCCCUUAUCCUCUUCAAAAGAGUUCAUCAUCUAGUUAAAUCUAGGUGAGAAGAACUCCGUUCUUCGUCUUUUAUUUUCAAUCUAAAUCUCCAGUGUUGUUUUUGCACAGGAAGGUAUCUUUUGCGCCUUCCUAUUUACGCAAUGGAAUAAAUUAGAACGAUUCUUUGUUUCAGAUCUUGGGGAUUGACACUUAAUGCCUUAUUUUCCAUGUGAACUACACUUGUAGAUGCUGCAAAGAUGUAUAUUUUCAUUUAUGUUUCUUGUGGUGUAGAGAUUCCUGGAUGAAGCAUUGUUUUUCAUGCUACAUUGGUGAAUCUGAGUUGAUUUGUUUAUGAUUUUGGGAACGACAAUAUUCUUGAGGAGAAAGCAGGGACACGAAUUUAUAUCUUCUGUCCUGGAUACGUUUGGCUUGGAAAAGAAAGGAAUUCCUUCUUCAGAAGGCCACCGUGAUGAAAGAAAUUCCAAACCUAGAAAGAUGACUUUUGGCUGAGAGAUUAGCAAAGCAACCAGUUUAGGAUUUGCCUGUUGUAGAUUCUCCAGGCUAAAAUAUACUGGGAACUGGCCCCUACAAUGCCAAUAGUUAUCCCUGCUUAUCCACCUCAAAUGAAUGCGAAGCUUGGAAAAAAUCGCAGCCUGUUACAAUGUCGAUAAAGAUGUCCUGGAUGGUCCCGUUCUUCCCUCUAUUUUUCAUUUCUUUCCUGUUUCUCGCACCUACUCUUGUGUUAAAGAGUCCCACAUCUAAGAGAAAGGAAUUCUAAUGGGUUUUUGAGAGUGAAGACUAACUAAUUAACUUUUUAGCUCAAUUAAACUCAAUCUGCUUCUAGCUCAUUCAGGUACCCCACUGCUCACAACUGGAUUUGACUUGGACCCUGGCCAGGGCGUGCGAAAUUUGCUUCGAGUUGCUGCCCCUUGUGGAGUCCAUGGUGCACGAAAUGCAAAUGGUCGCAUUUCAGAUGUCAAUACGAGUAAGACUUCUUACAAUUUCACUUCAAAUAAGCGUUUGUAGAUAGAAUUAUAUCGUGUCCAUUUGAGGUUGCCCAAGGGAACUCCAGGUGGGAGAUGGGGAUGGAGGGUAGCAGUCACAUGUAAGAGUGGAUGUGGGGAGUUUGCUAACCCAACCAUUUGCCGGCCGUCCUUGGUUCAACCAUUUUCAAGCGAGCUUGGCCAAGGGGUUAUAACUACGCUUUUGAUGAUGGAGCCAGUAGAUUAUGCCCUAAUGCAAAUGGGAUUGGAUAUCUGAUGGUACAGUUGGUAGUGCAUCCACUGCUCCAGUAAUUCACAAGCCCAGCAAAAGAGAAACUGUGAAGAUGGCUUCUUCCUCAAACAUUUUCCUGCACCUUCCAACGAGAAUUCUUCUUAUCCUCUAUCUAUGCUUCAAAACAUAAAUGGCUAUGCUAUCUUAACUGUCUUGUAAGCAUGAAACUUUCUGCUGAACAGAUGCUCACCAGAAUAGAUCCCACAGGUUAAUAAGUGAUAAAUCUUGCAGAAAACACACAGGAUAGGAAAAAAUUUAGGCUUUUACAUUUUCAUAGAUUUGAAUUAGGAAACCACAAAACUCGGCUUUGUGCUAUUGUAUUCUCAAAAUGCUAUUAAUUGAAUUGGUUCAUGGUUCUAUUAGAACAUGUGAUUUCUGACAGUAA